rnacentral:rRNA from 1 species
CAGCAGCCGCGGUAAUACGAGGGGGGCAAGCGUUGUUCGGAAUUAUUGGGCGUAAAGGGCUCGCAGGCGGUUUCUUAAGUCUGAUGUGAAAGCCUCCGGCUCAACCGGGGAGGGUCAUUGGAAACUGGGAAACUUGAGUGCAGAAGAGGAGAGUGGAAUUCCACGUGUAGCGGUGAAAUGCGUAGAGAUGUGGAGGAACACCAGUGGCGAAGGCGACUCUCUGGUCUGUAACUGACGCUGAGGAGCGAAAGCGUGGGGAGCGAACAGGAUUAGAUACCCCAGUAGUCCCUGUCUCUUAUAC